rnacentral:tRNA from 1 species
UUCUCAAUAGCUCAGAGGUUAGAGCGGUUACAUCUAGUAAUGCGUCAUCGGUUCGAAUCCGAUUUGAGAAACUA